ACCUAUUGCCCACUCCUUACGGGGGAGACAGUCAUGAGACGUGAGUAUAAGACCUGAGUGUAAAGACCUUAGGGUGAAGCAAUUGGAGGGCAAGCUUUGGUGCCAGCAGCCGCGGUAACUCCAACUCCAAGAGUGUCUAUGGUGGAUGCUGCAGUUAAAGGGCCCGUAGUCGUGAAUGCAAUUAAAUGUCGUUGUUCAAUAGCGAUGAGUUUGCUAAUGUUUGCGGAACGGAUAGGGAGUGUAGUAUAGACUGGCGAAGAAUGAAAUCUCAAGACCCAGUUUGGACUAACGGAGGCGAAGGCGACACUCUUAGACGUAUCUUAGGAUCAAGGACGAAGGCAGGAGUAUCGAAAGUGAUUAGACACCGCUGUAGUUCCUGCAGUAAACUAUGCCGACAGCCUGUGUGUGAGAAUACGUGGGCGGGAGAAAUCUUAGUGUUCGGGCUCUGGGGAUAGUACGCUCGCAAGGGUGAAACUUAAAGCGAAAUUGACGGAAGGACACUACCAGGAGUGGAUUGUGCUGCUUAAUUUAACUCAACGCGGGAAAACUUACCAGGGUCAAGUCAUUCGUUGAUCGAAUACGUGAGAAUGGCAGGAGGGUGGAGUUG
rnacentral:rRNA from 1 species